AUACGGAGGAUGCGAGCGUUAUCCGGAUUUAUUGGGUUUAAAGGGAGCGUAGGUGGGAUAUUAAGUCAGCUGUGAAAGUUUGGGGCUCAACCUUAAAAUUGCAGUUGAUACUGGUUUCCUUGAGUACGGUACAGGUGGGCGGAAUUCGUGGUGUAGCGGUGAAAUGCUUAGAUAUCACGAAGAACUCCGAUCGCGAAGGCAGCUCACCGGGCCGGAACUGACACUGAUGCUCGAAAGUGCGGGUAUCAAACAGGAUUAGAUACCCUGGUAGUCCGCACAGUAAACGAUGAAUACUCGCUGUUUGCGAUACACGGUAAGCGGCCAAGCGAAAGCGUUAAGUAUUCCACCUGGGGAGUACGCCGGCAACGGUGAAACGCAAAUGAAUUGGCGGGG
rnacentral:rRNA from 1 species